rnacentral:rRNA from 1 species
GGGGGGACAGGGUGACAGGUGGUGCAUGGUUGUCGUCAGCUCGUGUCGUGAGAUGUUGGGUUAAGUCCCGCAACGAGCGCAACCCUUGCCUCUAGUUGCCAGCAUUCAGUUGGGCACUCUAGAGGGACUGCCGGCUAAAAGUCGGAGGAAGGUGGGGAUGACGUCAAAUCAUCAUGCCCCUUAUGACCUGGGCUACACACGUGCUACAAUGGGCGGUACAAAGGGCUGCGAACCCGCGAGGGGGAGCGAAUCCCAAAAAGCCGCUCUCAGUUCGGAUUGCAGGCUGCAACUCGCCUGCAUGAAGCCGGAAUCGCUAGUAAUCGCGGAUCAGCAUGCCGCGGUGAAUACGUUCCCGGGCCUUGUACACACCGCCCGUCACACCACGAGAGCUUGCAACACCCGAAGUCGGUGAGGUAACCCUUACGGGAGCCAGCCGCCGAAGGUGGGGCAAGUGAUUGGGGUGAAGUCGUAACAAGGUAGCCGUACCGGAAGGUGCGGCUGGAUCACCUCCUUUCUAAGGA